GACGAACGCUGGCGGCAUGCCUAACACAUGCAAGUCGAACGGAGAUUACUUCGGUAAUCUUAGUGGCGAACGGGUGAUUAACGCGUGGGCAACCUGCCCUCUAGAUGGGGACAACAUCCCAAAAGGGGUGCACAUAUCGAAUGUGACACCAAUAUCGCAUGAGGAUGCUUUGUAAGAUGGCCUCUAUUUAUAAGCUCUCGCUAAACGCUAGGCCUGCGUCCGAUUAGCUAGUAGGUGGGGUAACGGCCUACCAAGGCGAUGAUCAGUAGCCGGUCUGAGAGGAUGAACGGCCACAUUGGGACUGAGACACGGCCCAGACUCCUACGGGAGGCAGCAGUGGGGAAUCUUCCGCAAUGGGCGAAAGCCUGACGGAGCAACGCCGCGUGAGUGAUGAAGGAAUUCGUUCCGUAAAGCUCUGUUGUUUAUGACGAAUGUGCAGAAUGUAAAUAAGAAUAUGUAAUGACGGUAGUAAACGAAUAAGCCACGGCUAACUACGUG
rnacentral:rRNA from 1 species